CAACAUUAGAUUUCUCAAUCCAAUUCUUUAUCUACAGUAGAAUACAAUAGACUCCCCCCCCCCUUUUUUUCCUAGUGUAAUUUCUUGUAUUUGGACGUCCCAUCAUCCAUUUGAUUUUGGUUUUCCUUUGUCUUUUUGGUUCUUUUUCUUCCUUCAAAAUCUUCUAUCUCGACUCUGACGAUCACAAAUAAAGGAAAACAGAAGCAAAUCUUUUCCGUGAAAAGAUUCACAGGGCCGGGGACGGGGAAGAGAGCCAGCAGUUCUUGGGAUGAACCCUAAACACCUUCCACCGUAGUACUAUUACUGUUUACCUGAUCAAACACAAGCCAUGGCUACAAAGAGAUUGUAAUCUGUCAAUGAAAGAUUUAGAUAGCUUAGAAUUUAGAUAGUUUAGGCAGAGCCCUCCCUUCGGCCUUGUCUCUACUCUCCGGCACUUGAAAUCCAGACAAAAACAAAGUCCAAGUUGAAAAAAGAAAAUCCCACAGAGAUAACCAAAACACCAACCCUUGUUUUCAUUUUUGUUUUGUUAAUGGAUUCUGCUUCUGUAGGGGGUGCUGCAACCGAUCCGAAUAGCGUCAACGAGGGUCCAUCAUCUGCUGUAGUUACAGCUUCAACAACGCCGCCCACGGUUCCACAACAAGGUGGAGCUGGUGAGUCGUCUUCUUCCCCAGCUCCACCGAGUCGCUACGAGUCACAAAAGCGUCGAGACUGGAACACUUUCUUGCAGUACUUGAAGAACCAUAAGCCCCCAUUAACACUAGCUCGUUGCAGUGGUGCCCACGUCAUUGAGUUCUUGAAAUACCUUGACCAGUUUGGCAAAACUAAGGUUCACAUAACGGGUUGUCCUUAUUUCGGACAUCCAAACCCACCUGCUCCUUGCUCUUGCCCACUCAAGCAAGCAUGGGGUAGCCUCGACGCGCUGAUCGGACGGCUUAGAGCUGCUUAUGAAGAAAACGGUGGACGUCCAGAAUCAAAUCCUUUUGCCGCGAGGGCUGUGAGGAUUUAUUUGAGGGAGGUGAGAGAAGGGCAGGCUAAAGCUAGAGGGAUUCCUUACGAGAAGAAGAAGCGAAAAAGGUCUACAGUCAACACUACUGCUGUUGGGGUCAAUUUCUCGGUGGCUGCCACUCAAUCUAUUGAUGGUGGUGGGGGUAGCGGAGGUGGCGGAGAUUAUAUUGCCGGUGGAACUGCUGCUAAUGUUGCUACUGCCACCACCGCUGCUGCUGCUGCUACCACAACUAACGUAUAGUUUUUUUAUUUAUUUACGUUUUACUGAUUUUAUUCUUUUCCUUUUCUUCUUUUAAUAGCUCUUUUAUAUAUAUGAUUAUGAGGUAUAUAUCUGGCGGUUCUCUCUGAAUAUUGGAUUGAUAUCCCAUGAACCAAAUUUAGUUGAAAAUCUAGUUUUCAAUCUCUUGCAAACGAUACUCUCAUAUUUUAUUUCCCUGUUUGAUAAGACUUUUUAUCUUCUUUAAUUUCUUGUUGUGCAUGAACUUUGCUACUUCUGCAACUAGUUACAAAAGCAUACAUAUGAAAGGUGAAAUACAACACAUGAAGUUCUAAUCCAUUUGGGCUAAGAUUGGAUUGUAGCAAAGGCAAACUUCAAAGUGCGGGGACGGGAGAGUGGAAGCAAGAAGAGGAGGGUUGUUGGGAAGGAAGGUAACACUCACAACAGAAACACUUGUAGGCUUUUGCUACAAAAAUAUUUCUACUUAGCCCAGCCCCAGCUCAAAGGCCUAUUUCAGUGCUGUUGUAAAUGUAACAUAUAAACCACACGUGCUCCUCACUGAAAUAUUUACAUCUUUGCACUUUCAGUUUCAGUGUCAGGUGCUGGAGCCUUUAUAUCUUGAUCUAAGAUUUUGGGUGGGCAUUGAGUUCUGUUUUCUUUUUCUCUUGAUUUACCCGUUUUUCUCUCGGGUCCUCUCAAGCUCGAUUUCUCA